UUUCUCUAAUCGUUAUCUUUUAUUUAUUUCAUUUUCUUUGUUUGAAGAUAUUUCGUUGCCCUCUCUAUCAUACUGCUGUCCUUCACAGUUUUUGUUCGGAGAUUUUUUCCCUUUUAUAUAUUUUUGAACCCUUUGUUUUUUUUUUUUGUGUGUGUGUGUGUUUAUAGUCAUGGACGUCAAAAGCAAAAAGAAAAGAAAAGAAAGGAGAAACAAAGUAGCGACUUUUGUCAUUUACUAGUUAUGAACGUACGAAUUCACGUUGUGCCACUUACGAUAUUGGAAGAAACUGGAUAUGCUACGAGUGUGGUGAUUUUCUAUUAAAACUUGAAAUUUUUAUUAAAUUUAAUUUAUUUUAAUCUAGGUAUUGGGGUCCCACUCCUUGCUCAAGGUCUGUCCCCUCUGAUCCUUGGGAGGCUUGGAGGCCUCAAGGUGCUAUUCAAGAGGCAAGGGGCUUCAAGCUGUUAUCAACUUGAGGGCUUGAACUCAGGACCUUGGAAGGUAGCUUAGUAAAACCUUAACAAGUCAGCAUUGUUGUCCAGAGUUGGUUCCAACUUACAUUUUAGGUUUCUUUAUUGCUUUAAUGACAUGUGGAUCUGGAUUUGGCAUGGGCUCCUAACCUCAAGAAAGCCGGCAAUAACACCCACGACUUAGGUCCAAUUUACCUUUUACAAGAUAAAGUUCUUCAUGAUAGGAGGAGGCGAAGGACAAGGGGGGACUUCGUUUUUAAGCAUAGAUAGGCUGAUGAUUUUGUGUUUGAGAUUAUUUUUUUAUUUUUUUAUUUUUUUAUUUUUUUAUUUUUUGCAUUGGCAUGACUUCUAAAUACACUCGAUGAUUUAUGCCUCUUAUGGUCGCUCAUUUUCAUUGGCUUGUCUGGCAACUUUGGAUAGAGUAGUUGUUGCCUUUUAUUCCUUUUCUUUUUUUGGCAGUAAAUUUACUGGGUUAGAAGACAUUUCGGAUGGUAUAGUUCUUGUGUUUAGAUGAAGCCCUCUUUGAAGACUUUU